rnacentral:rRNA from 1 species
UACGUAGGGGGCAAGCGUUGUCCGGAUUUAUUGGGCGUAAAGGGUGCGUAGGCGGUUCGUUAAGUCUGUCGUGAAAUCCCCGGGCUCAACCUGGGAAUGGCGAUGGAUACUGGCGAGCUAGAGUGUGUCAGAGGAUGGUGGAAUUCCCGGUGUAGCGGUGAAAUGCGUAGAGAUCGGGAGGAACAUCAGUGGCGAAGGCGGCCAUCUGGGACAACACUGACGCUGAAGCACGAAAGCGUGGGGAGCAAACAGG